rnacentral:rRNA from 1 species
GUGAACCAGCGGAGGGAUCAUUACCGAGUUUCAACUCACCAAACCCACUGUGAACCUUACCAACGUCGUUGCUUCGGCGGGGCGCAGACCUCCCCUCCUCUCCGGGGGGCGAGGGGGCGCGGGCCCGCCGGCAGCACCCCAAACUCUUCUGUAUCUACCCCUAGCGUCUCUUCUGAGUACAAAAGACAAAACAAUCAAAACUUUCAACAACGGAUCUCUUGGCUGUGGCAUCGAUGAAGAACGCAGCGAAAUGCGAUAACUAAUGUGAAUUGCAGAAUUCAGUGAAUCAUCGAGUCUUGAACGCACAUUGCGCCCGCUGGUAUCCGGCGGGAUGCCUGUCCGAGCGUCAUUUGUCCUCAAGGCCCCACGCUUGGUGUUGGGCGACCCGCGGCCCCCUGCGUGCGGCGCCCCAAAUGCAUCGGCGGCUCCGCCUGCGCUCCUGCGUAGUAGACCUCUCUGCAUCGGGUCCCGGCGCGGCCAGCCGCUAAACAACCCCCAAUCGUACCAACGGGUGACCUCGGAUCAGGUAGGAAUACCCGCUGAAC